UCCCUGAGAGCUCAGUUGGUAAAGAAUCUGGCUGCAAUGCAGGAGACCCUGGUUCGAUUCCUGGGUCAGGGAG
rnacentral:tRNA from 1 species